rnacentral:rRNA from 1 species
GACGAACGCUGGCGGCGUGCUUAACACAUGCAAGUCGAGCGGUAAGGCCCUUUCGGGGGUACACGAGCGGCGAACGGGUGAGUAACACGUGGGUGACCUGCCCUCAGCUCUGGGAUAAGCCUGGGAAACCGGGUCUAAUACUGGAUAUGACUCCAUGACGCAUGUUGUGGGGUGAAAGCCUUGUGCGGCUGAGGAUGGGCCCGCGGCCUAUCAGCUUGUUGGUGGGGGAUGGCCUACCAAGGCGACGACGGGUAGCCGGCCUGAGAGGGCGACCGGCCACACUGGGACUGAGACACGGCCCAGACUCCUACGGGAGGCAGCAGUGGGGAAUCUUGCGCAAUGGGCGAAAGCCUGACGCAAGCGACGCCGCGUGAGGGAUGACGGCCU